GGGCCUGUAGCUCAGCAAGGCAGAGCAUCGGGCUUUUAAGACUUCGGUCGGAGACACCCGGUGGUCAGGGGUUCAACUCCCCUCAGGCCCG
rnacentral:tRNA from 1 species